rnacentral:lncRNA from 1 species
UUUUCCUUUUAUUCACGGAGGCAAAGCCUAGCACGUGUUUCUCUGAUCGUGAAGGCAUAGCCUACCAUAACGAUCAGUCGGGAAAGACAGCGCCUAUCAUUCCGGAAAAAGACGGAGAAGGCCCAACCUCUCACUCGGAAACAAUAAUAAAAUUUAAAUAAAUCAAAUAUAUUAAAAUACAUAAAUUUAAAUAUUAUUCCGGCUGGUUUAAAAACUUUCGGAUUGAUAAACUUUAGUUGGCCAAAGUUUCGUGCUGAUAAUCUCAUAUAUAUUAAAGGAGAAGCACUUAAAAAAAUUUCCUUAAAAGUGUAAUCUGACGUGGCUUCAUGAGAGGCUUCUAUUUACAAAAUAGCACAUGUGUUACUUGGAGAACCUAUGUUAAAAAAACGGAAGCUUUAAAUGCCCGCAAAUAUUUCCAUAAUUAUUGUCGCCAUUCUGAAACUUAAAUUCACGUAAACGGGGUGUUAAUUUUUUAAGUGCUUAUGUUGAUUCUCCAAUCCUCCAACCGUAUGUGAUGUGCUCGUUUUCGAUGACUACGUAAGAGGCAUAGGGAAUUUGCUCUUUGCCAAAGCAUCAACAACACGGUCAGCGUUUUGGUGUGCAUCGAAAUAAAAAAAAAAACUGAAUCAAGUAACCUUAUAACAUGGUUAUAGAAAUUGAGAUAUUGCAGAAAGGAACGCGGAAGAGAUGGUAAAGGAAGGAGCGAUAUGGGAAGUGUUGAGGAUCUCAAGAGAAAGCCCGACAGAGCCUAAGAUGGAAUAUCUCAAUAUGGUGGGGAGUGCAAGCCGCUUCACGGGAUAUCAACACGAAGACGCCUACGUUCAGUAAGGAAUCUGAUCCUCUGUUUCUUCAUGCAAAAUUUAUAAGACAUUAUGCUGUACGUCUUGCUGGAUAGAUCGUUAUUUGUGUAAUUUGCUUUGCCUGUCGGUGAGUUCA